rnacentral:misc_RNA from 1 species
GGAAUUUCUCCGGAAAGCAUGUUUUCUGAGACAUCUAGUUUAUUUAUAUUUGUCAGCUUUCCCACGUCUUCAGGUAGGCUGCCGGUUAGUGAAUUAUGUGAUAAGUUUAAGUACAGAGAUAAUGAAGGAAGACUGAGAACCUCCUUGGGUAUGGAUCCAUUGAGCUUAUUUCUUGACAUAUCCAAAUACUGCAAAAAUUUGCAAUUUCCUAUACUUCCAGGAAUAAUUCCAUCCAAAUUGUUUCGUGAAAUGGAAAGCUUAGAUAACUGGGUGAUAUUGCCUAUGGAGGAUGCAAUCUGACCUGACAAUCUAUUUUCUCCCAAAUCCAAUAGUUGAAGUUUACUUAAUUUUCCUAGGGAAGAGGGGAAAAGACCAGUGAAAAG